UCUUUUUCGUAAAGCCAAAAGAUGGGACAAAAGAGUUUAUAGUUUUCUAAUAUUUUUCUGUCUAGUUACGUCUUUCAUCACCUCAUUGAGCCAUAUUCUCUAACCUUGGCUUCGUUUUUUGCCUCAUCUAUGCUUGGCCAAACUUUAAGCCCUCUCACACAGUGGCGGAGGUAGAAUUUCCAUUCAUGAAGGUCAAAAUGUAAAAAAAAAAAUUAUAAGGGUCAGUUAUAUAAUUUAGCAGGGGUCAGUUUGAUAAUUUUAAGCCAAAAUCAACUAAUUUUGAAAUUUC
rnacentral:lncRNA from 1 species